GUAGCCUGUGAGCACUACAGUGUGCCUGUCAGGUAUGCCCUGGAUUGGGUUUGCAGACAACUAUUGGAACCCCAAGUGGGUUCUGCAAAGCUGGAACUGUUCACUUCUUGCUCAGCAUACCUCUGCUAAGCACAUUAAACUCAUUCAACAAAUAUUUAUGGAGUGCAGACUCUCUCAUACCAUGUUAAGUGUUGUGUUUAUAGUGAUGAACAAGACAGACAUGAUACCAACCACAAAUUGCCUACAGACAAUGACAACAGAGUGAGAAGUACUGUGCCAAAGAGCUCCUGCAGGGGGCACCCAGCCUGGCCUGGGGUCAGUGAAGGCUGAUUGGUUAAAGCCACAAUCUUCACCCAACUGGAUAUUUCAGUAGCCUUUCUGGUCUGUUUCUAUCCUCACCCUCUACAUUCUUAAAACAGUAGAGUGACCCCUUUAAACUAUAAAACAGAUCACAACACUCAAAGACCUCCAUCCCCCCCUUCACUCAGAAUGGAAGAGUUCUUAUAGUUCUACAAAGCCUUGGCCCCUGGGGCCCAGUAAGCCCCUGAAUUCAUCUGCUAGUGUUCCUCACCUUGCUUAUUUGCUGUUGCUCAAAAGAGCCAGGCAGAUUCCUGCCUCCAGCUUCACAGUUGUCCCCCCCUCCCCCAGAUAUGCACGGCUUGCUCCUUCACCUCCUCCAUCAGCUAGAUGAGGCCUUCCCUGACUACCCUAUUCACAAUUGCAGCAUCUGCCCGAGGUACAUGCAGCCAACUUCCCUGCUUUGUUUUCUUCACAACA
rnacentral:lncRNA from 1 species